UCUUUUACACUAUUUGAAAAAAACCCCAACCAAACAAAACAAAAGACAAAAAAAACCCAUAUAAUAUAAAUUCAAUCUGGAGAGACUCAUCGACUAAAAGGUUUUAUUGACUAGAUGAAUUAAAGUUCUUUGGCGCUCGGACCCUGGUAGAAGGCAUUGUGCUGUAAAUUGAAGUAAGCUUGGAAGAGCAUUUGCUAUGCUGAUUUGAGAUGUCUUCCCCCGGAGCCCGUACACUGGUGGUCGGAGAAAGGAUGGAGGCCUGAAGGAGCCAGGAGCAUGGAGGUGGAGAAGGGAUGGAGGUGGGUUGAGCACGGCUGGAAAGCAGAUGAUGCCGUAAAUGAAGCUUCUUCUAAACGGGAGCUUGAUCAGUGAUUGGCUGUGACGGGGCAUGGUCCGAUGCUGAUAGGCUGGCGGCAGAUGAACGUGACACAGUGAGUGGAUGAUGCAGAUUUUUGCCUCGAUUCAACAAUGUUAAGGACAGCCCGAUUAUCGGGACGACUCUUAUAAUCUUAAGAGGUUCUUCCAUGUGUGGUGCGUUACGAGUGGAUCUGGUCCACACGGAAGGAAGUCCUGACCACUCCGAUUGAACAUUGGGAACAUUCAACGUGAUGUAUUGUCUUGUCCCGAUAUCGCAAUGUGUGGGCUGUUCCCUGAGGACUAACAAGAACCCAGCUUGUUCAAUGUGAGAUGUAGACCAAGAGGGGAGUUCUUAAUAAAGAAGACAAAACAAAACCA